rnacentral:misc_RNA from 1 species
AACACUGUUAACCUGCGGUACCUGCGGAGGGAUCAUUACUGUGAUUUACUACUACACUGCGUGAGCGGAACGAAAACAACAACACCUAAAAUGUGGGAUAUAGCAUAUAGUCGACAAGAGAAAUCUACGAAAAAACAAACAAAACUUUUAACAAUGGAUCU